rnacentral:lncRNA from 1 species
CUUCUGUGACGAAUUAAAUAUGAAACGCCUUCUGUAGGCUUGUAUGUUUGAACAUCUACUCCCAAGUAAGUGGCACUGUUUUCGAAGGUUGGAGAACCUUUAAGAGGUGGAGCCUCAUUGGAGGAAGUGAGUCACUAGGGGUCGGCCUUGAGGCUUGAUAACUUGGUCUCACUUCCGGUUAUGCUCGGCUUGCGGAGGUAACAUGGCGGACUGUCUCGUGCUACUGUUUCCAAGAGGUCCUCACUACAGUGAACUGUAUCCCCUCAACCGGAAGUCAAAACAAACCCCUCCUCCUGCUUGAGUAUAGCUCAGUUGGACAGUUCAUUUCUGCUCCCCAUUAGUUCUGGAAGGCUGAUUAUAGCAGAAGAAUCCAGUUCUAAGAAAGCGUACCCCUGUGGGGAAUUGUAGGCUGGUAUCCAGUUGAGCUGAGGUCUGAACCCCAAUGGUCAUAAUUGGGGUGCGUCUCUCUGGGUCUUGCCUAAGAAAUCUUCCCCUUUCUCAUGCCGUGAAAGGAUUUUCAGGAAAUUUUACCUCAAGAAAUACGUUGGUUUCAUUGAAGUUUUCUGACUUGGGUCAGAAUUUUGCUCAUUGUUUUAUGUCUGUUAUGGCCAAGCAUUUGAGGCUAGCUUCGACUGAAUGAGACUGCAUUUCAAACAACAACAACAACAACAAAGAGCUUUUGGCGGUCACAGGUUUUGGGGCUCAAGCUGAGGUGGUCAGGCUUGGGGGAAUCAUAUCUUUUCCCUGGUGAAGCUGAGCCUUUUGCCUGUCUUGUAGUGAUUACUUUUAAUUGCCAACUGACAAUCUAGAAGCAGCUGGGGAAAGAGUCCCGGUGAGGGAUUGUCUAGAGCAGGGUGGCCUGUGGGCGUGUCUGUGGGACAUUAUCUUCAUCAUAUUAACUGCAGUGGGAAGCCCCGCUCACUGUGAGUUGACAGGAUCCAGACUUGUGUGACAGCAGGGAAGUGGGACCGAGUACCGCUGGGCAGACAUUCACUGUUCUCUGUUCCUGGUUAUGGAAGUGAUGAGGCUAUUUCCUCAGAGCUCCUAAUUCUGAUCUCCCACAAUGAUGGACAAUAAUCUAGAGGUGCGAGCUAAAUAAACGAUUUCUCCACUUGGUUGCUUUUACCAGGGAAUUUUUAUCAGAUCAAUAGAAACUUCAGACAGGCCUAACUUACCCUGAUCAUCUUUAUCCAAGCCUGGACUUUUUAUCAUUGCUGCAUUGGUAGGAAAUUUUAUAUAUAUAUAUAUUGUAUAUAGGUUUUUUGUGGGCUAAGGUACUUGGUAUUUAAGGUAUGUUUAUUGACUAGAUAUGGUGUGUAGAUAUCUCUAUAAAUGUAACAUAAACCCAGCAUUGCAUCAUCGUAUUACAUUUUAAUAAGAAUUUGGAUGCCCAUCAACUCAAAAGUCUUUGAGGAGUCCUCAGGCCAAAGAUUGCAUCUGAUCGAGGUCUAUCCUUAAUGGCAGGUUCUGUUUUUGUUCCAAGGAGAUCAGGAGAAAUGCUUGUACAGCUGUAGUUUUUGAAAGAUGUUUGAAUGCCUGCAGGAUUGAAUUCAGCAAGUUCCUGAGUUGUAAAGCAUUUUUAAUGCUCACAUAUUAA